rnacentral:rRNA from 1 species
CCUACGGGUGGCUGCAGUGGGGAAUAUUGGACAAUGGGGGGAACCCUGAUCCAGCCAUGCCGCGUGUGUGAAGAAGGCCCUCGGGUUGUAAAGCACUUUCAGUGAGGAAGAACGCCUGGUGGUUAAUACCCAUCAGGAAAGACAUCACUCACAGAAGAAGCACCGGCUAACUCCGUGCCAGCAGCCGCGGUAUUACGGAGGGUGCGAGCGUUAAUCGGAAUUACUGGGCGUAAAGCGCGCGUAGGUGGCUUGAUAAGCCGGUUGUGAAAGCCCCGGGCUCAACCUGGGAACGGCAUCCGGAACUGUCAAGCUAGAGUGCAGGAGAGGAAGGUAGAAUUCCCGGUGUAGCGGUGAAAUGCGUAGAGAUCGGGAGGAAUACCAGUGGCGAAGGCGGCCUUCUGGACUGACACUGACACUGAGGUGCGAAAGCGUGGGUAGCAAACAGGAUUAGAUACCCGAGUAGUC